rnacentral:lncRNA from 1 species
AUGGCAUGCAGCAUAUAUACCCCUACAAAUAGUUCUAAAAUGCGUUUGCAAAUGCAGAAGUCUUCAGAACCUUCCAACAGUUCAGAACACCCUUUUUAUCUCUUCUCUGCGGGACGUCUCCUCCAGAUUACUCGAAAAAAGCGGAAAAGAUCGCAUUGGAAUAUAGAGCCAGAUUGUCAGCUGCAUAACUACAUUGAAGGCAAGGAAACUAGCAUAACUACAUUGAAGGCAAGGAAACAUCCGGUUUACACCAGCCGAGGAUCUCGCUGAUAGUUUUACCCCUCUCAAUCACGAAAAGUGGUUAUGUUGGGACUCCCAGGAAAGGAUUAUUGUCUUCUGAAAAGCAUCAAAUGAAUUUCACAUCUUCUAGUCUCAGACAGUUGGUCUUUGGCUCAAUUAUGGAGAAAGGGUGAACUCUCAGCUACAGAAUCAGGCGGCCUUAUUCUCACACAGCAAGACACAAGGGGCUCUCACUGAAAUCAAGGUGAGUUAUCAGUAGUUUAUGCAGUGCGAUUGGGAGCCUGUAUUUUGUAGGAUGAGCAAUCUCCUGGUUAUGGACAAAAUGAUGAAAGAAAAGGGGGAAGCCACUUUGAAUGGUUUGGUGUAUGGUUCAGAUACGAGCAAAAUGACUCUAGAGAAAGAAGUCUGAGACCUAGCGAACAUUCCUUUAUUGUGAUACAAAGUUCUCUUUGGUAAUGUAUUUGCAGACCAACACACUCUUGCCUUGAUGUUCUCAAGGUAUUCCUGCGUGUUUCAUGAAGCAGUUUGCUGCAUUGUCCCGUUAUGUUUUCAGUUGGACUGUAGGUUCACCCACUAGAUCUUUAACCUAGAUUAUUCUCGCAGUUUUACCCCAAGUUCUACAUGUUGUAUCUCACAUUGUUCUCCCUGUUUUCUCUACUGAAAAAUUAAAUAGGACUUGUGAAGCUGAUAACGCUGCACCCUUCCAGUUUGCCUCAACUUCUGUCCUGGAGGGACCCUUUCAUCGACAAUGGGACAUAGUCCAGCCUUUCUUCCCAUUUGGUCUUUGGCUUCUCUGGCAAGGCUGCCAAGGAAGAUACACAUUGUGAUCAUAGUGUUGACCUCUAUCCAGUAGGAACUGGAGUGAGACCAUCAUUUCAUUUCAUAUAGGUCUCCAGGGACAAUCAGAUGGAGAUGACUGUCCAUAGGGGUGGCUUGAAUUUGAAUUAGUGUCCUAAAAUGAGUUUCCUUACCCUGUUACCCAUAAUGCUUGCUGUGCAUUGCUCCAG